AUCAAAAACAUGUCUUUUUGAUUAUUUAGAAAGUCUGGCCUGCCCACUGGAGGUAUUAAAGGGCCGCGGUAUAUUGACCGUGCAAAGGUAGCAUAAUCAUUAGUCUUUUAAUUGGAGGCUGGGAUGAAUGGUUUAAUGAAGCAUUAACUGUCUCAUGAUAAUCUAUUGAAGUUCACUUUUUAGUAAGAAGGCUAAAAUAAGAUUAAAGGACGAGAAGACCCUAUAGAGCUUUAUAUUUACUUAAGUAGCUUGAAUUUAGGAAAUACUAAGGUUAUUUAAGAAAAAUAUUUAAUUGGGGUGAUUUAGAGAAAACAUUUUAUUUAAUGUGACAUAGAUUUAUGGGAGAAUGAUCCACUAAUAGUGAAUAGAAGACAUAGUUACCUUAGGGAUAACAGCGUAAUUUCUUUUAUGAGCUCAUAUCUACGAAGAAGUUUGCGACCUCGAUGUUGGAUUAAGGAUAUAGAUGGGUGCAGCCGUUCAUUAUAUAGGUCUGUUCGACCUUUAAAUCCUUACAUUGAUCUGAGU
rnacentral:rRNA from 1 species